GUGGAGCCAACCUUGAAAUACCACCCUGGUUCAUUUGAGGUUCUAACCUUGGUCCGUUAUCCGGAUCGGGGACAGUGCAUGGUAGGCAGUUUGACUGGGGCGGUCUCCUCCUAAAGUGUAACGGAGGAGUUCGAAGGUACGCUAAUUACGGUCGGACAUCGUGAUGAUAGUGCAAUGGCAUAAGCGUGCUUAACUGCGAGACCGACAAGUCGAGCAGGUACGAAAGUAGGACAUAGUGAUCCGGUGGUUCUGUAUGGAAGGGCCAUCGCUCAACGGAUAAAAGGUACUCUGGGGAUAACAGGCUGAUUCCUCCCAAGAGUUCAUAUCGACGGGGGAGUUUGGCACCUCGAUGUCGGCUCAUCACAUCCUGGGGCUGUAGCCGGUCCCAAGGGUAUGGCUGUUCGCCAUUUAAAGUGGUACGUGAGCUGGGUUUAAAACGUCGUGAGACAGUUUGGUCCCUAUCUGCCGUGGGCGUUGGAAAUUUGAAGGGGGCUGCUCCUAGUACGAGAGGACCGGAGUGGACGAACCUCUGGUGUACCGGUUGUCACGCCAGUGGCAUUGCCGGGUAGCUAAGUUCGGAAGAGAUAACCGCUGAAAGCAUCUAAGCGGGAAACUUGCCUUGAGAUGAGAUUUCCCAGAGCCUUGAGCUCUUUAAAGGGUCGUUCGAGACCAGGACGUUGAUAGGCUGGGUGUGGAAGUGCAGUAAUGCAUUAAGCUAACCAGUACUAAUUGCCCGUACGGCUUGUCCCU
rnacentral:rRNA from 2 species